rnacentral:rRNA from 1 species
UCGAACGAUGAAGCCCAGCUUGCUGGGUGGAUUAGUGGCGAACGGGUGAGUAACACGUGAGUAACCUGCCCUUAACUCUGGGAUAAGCCUGGGAAACUGGGUCUAAUACCGGAUAGGAGCGUCCACCGCAUGGUGGGUGUUGGAAAGAUUUAUCGGUUUUGGAUGGACUCGCGGCCUAUCAGCUUGUUGGUGAGGUAAUGGCUCACCAAGGCGACGACGGGUAGCCGGCCUGAGAGGGUGACCGGCCACACUGGGACUGAGACACGGCCCAGACUCCUACGGGAGGCAGCAGUGGGGAAUAUUGCACAAUGGGCGAAAGCCUGAUGCAGCGACGCCGCGUGAGGGAUGACGGCCUUCGGGUUGUAAACCUCUUUCAGUAGGGAAGAAGCGAAAGUGACGGUACCUGCAGAAGAAGCACCGGCUAACUACGUGCCAGCAGCCGCGGUAAUACGUAGGGUGCGAGCGUUAUCCGGAAUUAUUGGGCGUAAAGAGCUCGUAGGCGGUUUGUCGCGUCUGUCGUGAAAGUCCGGGGCUUAACCCCGGAUCUGCGGUGGGUACGGGCAGACUAGAGUGCAGUAGGGGAGACUGGAAUUCCUGGUGUAGCGGUGGAAUGCGCAGAUAUCAGGAGGAACACCGAUGGCGAAGGCAGGUCUCUGGGCUGUAACUGACGCUGAGGAGCGAAAGCAUGGGGAGCGAACAGGAUUAGAUACCCUGGUAGUCCAUGCCGUAAACGU